GGCUCGGAGCGAAACACUUUCGGAUUGUUUUAAGAAAAUGGCAGACAAACCAGACAUGGGGGAAAUCGCCAGCUUCGAUAAGGCCAAGCUGAAGAAGACGAAGACGCAGGAGAAGAACACCCUGCCGACCAAAGAGACCAUUGAGCAGGAAAAGCGGAGUGAGAUUUCCUAAGAGCCCAGACAAUUCCCCGCCCCCGUCAUCUCCGAGACCCCCCAGUCAUGAUGUGGAGGAAGAGCCACUUGCAAGAUGGACACGAGCCACAAGCUGCACUGUGAACCCGGGCAUUC